GCGGCCGGUAGAUAACCGCGAGGAUCAGCAGCACCACGAGUGCUGCGAUGACCAGCACGAUGAGGUUGGUCGUCUCGAUCGACACGAUCUGGCCGACC
rnacentral:tRNA from 1 species